rnacentral:rRNA from 1 species
ACUCAAAUGAAUAGACGGGGACCCGCACAAGCAGUGGAGUAUGUGGUUUAAUCCGAUGCUAAGCGAAAAACCUUACCGAGGCUUGACAUCUCUGGAAGACUCCCGAAAGGGAGUUGUGCCGCUUGCGGAACCAGAUGACAGAUGCUGCAUGGCCGUCGUCAGCUCGUGUCGUGAGAUGUUGGGUUAAGUCCCGCAACGAGCGCAACCCUUGUCGUGUGUUACACUUUCACACGAGACUGCCCGGGUAACCGGGAGGAAGGUGAGGAUGACGUCUGGUCGGCAUGGCUCUUACGCCUCGGGCUACACACGUACUACAAUGGCCGUUACAAAGGGUUUUGCCAAGCCGUAAGGUGGAGCUAAUCCCAUCAAAAGCGGUCUCAGUUCGGAUUGAGGGCUGAAACUCGCCCUCAUGAAGUCGGAAUUGCUAGUAAUGGCGGAUCAGCAUGCCGCCGUGAAUACGUUCCCGGGUCUUGUACACACCGCCCGU